rnacentral:rRNA from 1 species
UCUAUGGCCAUACCACCCUGAACGUGCCCAAUCUUGUCUGAAGCUGGAAGCUAAGCAGGGUCGGGCCUGGUUAGUACUUGGAUGGGAGGCCGGCUGAAGACAGCGAUAACCAAAUGAA